GACGAACGCUGGCGGCGUGCUUAACACAUGCAAGUCGAACGGAAAGGCCCUGCUUUUGUGGGGUGCUCGAGUGGCGAACGGGUGAGUAACACGUGAGUAACCUGCCCUUGACUUUGGGAUAACUUCAGGAAACUGGGGCUAAUACCGGAUAGGAGCUCCUGCUGCAUGGUGGGGGUUGGAAAGUUUCGGCGGUUGGGGAUGAACUCGCGGCUUAUCAGCUUGUUGGUGGGGUAGUGGCUUACCAAGGCUUUGACGGGUAGCCGGUCUGAGAGGGUGACCGGCCACAUUGGGACUGAGAUACGGCCCAGACUCCUACGGGAGGCAGCAGUGGGGAAUAUUGCACAAUGGGCGGAAGCCUGAUGCAGCAACGCCGCGUGCGGGAUGACGGCCUUCGGGUUGUAAACCGCUUUCGCCUGUGACGAAGCGUGAGUGACGGUAAUGGGUAAAGAAGCACCGGCUAACUACGUG
rnacentral:rRNA from 1 species